CNGAAUAAACUCUCCAACUCCAGACUAGCCC
rnacentral:piRNA from 1 species